rnacentral:rRNA from 1 species
CCUACGGGUGGCAGCAGUGAGGAAUAUUGGUCAAUGGGCGCGAGCCUGAACCAGCCAAGUCGCGUGAGGGAAGACGGUCCUGUGGAUUGUAAACCUCUUUUGUCGGGGAGCAAAAGACGCCACGCGUGGCGUUCCGAGAGUACCCGAAGAAAAAGCAUCGGCUAACUCCGUGCCAGCAGCCGCGGUAAUACGGAGGAUGCGAGCGUUAUCCGGAUUUAUUGGGUUUAAAGGGUGCGCAGGCGGAAUAUCAAGUCAGCGGUAAAAUUGAGAGGCUCAACCUCUUCGAGCCGUUGAAACUGGUGUUCUUGAGUGAGUGAGAAGUAUGCGGAAUGCGUGGUGUAGCGGUGAAAUGCAUAGAUAUCACGCAGAACGCCGAUUGCGAAGGCAGCAUACCGGCGCUCAACUGACGCUCAUGCACGAAAGUGUGGGUAUCGAACAGGAUUAGAUACCCCGGUAGUC